rnacentral:rRNA from 1 species
UAUUUGGAGUAAGCGAUGGCUGGUCGGUUGAUAUUCCGACACCGGCACGUACCGUUAUGAGCGAGGGGGGGACGCGCAGCAGGGCCUGCCUCCCGGGAUUGGAAGUCCGGGGCGGAGGGAUAGUCUGGUCGGAUAGGCAAAUCCGUUCGACACCACAGACGGCCCUUCGAUACAGGGAGGGGUAACACCCGAACCCAAAGCGGAGAAUGCUGCGCCGAGAAAAGCCUCUAGCCAGGUGCUGGCCGACCGUACCGCAAACCGACACAGGUAGGCGGGUAGAGGAUACCCAGGCGCGCGAGAGAACUAUCGUUAAGGAACUAGGCAAACUGACCCCGUAACUUAGGGAGAAGGGGUGCCGGGGAACGGGGAGGCUGUAACGCCGAACUCAACUCCGGUCGCAGUGACAGGGCUCGAGCGACUGUUUAACAAAAACACAGGUCUCUGCUAAGGGGAAACCCGCAGUAUAGGGGCUGACGCCUGCCCAACGCCAGAAGGUUAAAGGGAGAGGUCAGAGCCGGCGCAAGCCGGAAGGCAGCUUUGAACUGAAGCCCUGGUGAGUGGCGGCCGUAACUAUAACGGUCCUAAGGUAGCGAAAUUCCUUGUCGGGUAAGUUCCGACCUGCACGAAUGGCGUAACGACUUGAGCGCUGUCUCAACGAUAGACUCGGUGAAAUUGUAGCACUUGUGAAGAUGCAGGUUACCCACAAUAGGACGGAAAGACCCCGUGGAGCUUUACUACACCCUGUCAUUGUGUUCUCUGCUGGUCUGUAGAGCGUAGGUGGGAGCCCGCAAGGGCGCCAAUGGAACACCACCCUGGCCAGUGGGGAGCACUAACCGGCGCGGGUUCGCAGCCCGACCGAGACCGUGGCAGCCGGGUAGUUUGACUGGGGCGGUCGCCUCCCAAAUUGUAACGGAGGCGUCCAAAGGUUCCCUCGGCCUGGUUGGAAAUCAGGCGCAAAGAGUAUAAGAGCACAAGGGAGCUUGACGGUGAGAGCGACAGCUCGAGCCGGGACGAAAGUCGGGCCUAGUGACCCUCUGGUGGGGUGUGGAACCGCCAGGGCUUAACGGAUAAAAGUUACCCCGGGGAUAACAGGCUUAUCUUGCCCAAGCGCUCACAGCGACGGCAAGGUUUGGCACCUCGAUGUCGGCUCGUCGCAUCCUGGGGCUGGAUUAGGUCCCAAGGGUUAGGCUGUUCGCCUAUUAAAGCGGUACGCGAGCUGGGUUCAGAACGUCGUGAGACAGUUCGGUCCCUAUCCAUUGUGGGCGGAAGAGUAUUGAGAGGAACUGCUCCUAGUACGAGAGGACCGGAGUGGACUGACCGCUGGUGUACCUGUUGUUGCGCCCGCAGCAGAAGCAGGGUAGCUAUGUCGGGAAGGGAUAAGCGCUGAAAGCAUCUAAGCGCGAAGCUCGCCUCAAGAUGAGUACUCUCACCAGGUUAGCUGGGUAAGGCCCGUGGUAGAGAACCACGUUGAUAGGCGGAACCUGGAAGCGCUGCAAGGCGUGGAGGGCAUCCGUACUAAUCGGCCGAGGGCUUGACC